CCUACGGGAGGCAGCAGUAGGGAAUCUUCGGCAAUGGACGAAAGUCUGACCGAGCAACGCCGCGUGAGUGAAGAAGGUUUUCGGAUCGUAAAACUCUGUUGUUAGAGAAGAACAAGGAUGAGAGUAACUGUUCAUCCCUUGACGGUAUCUAACCAGAAAGCCACGGCUAACUACGUGCCAGCAGCCGCGGUAAUACGUAGGUGGCAAGCGUUGUCCGGAUUUAUUGGGCGUAAAGCGAGCGCAGGCGGUUUCUGAAGGCCGGUGGUAAAAGCCCCGGGCCAAACGGGGAAGGGCAAUGGGAACUGGGAGACUUGAGUGCAGAAGAGGAGAGUGGAAUUCCAUGUGUAGCGGUGAAAUGCGUAGAUAUAUGGAGGAACACCAGUGGCGAAGGCGGCUCUCUGGUCUGUAACUGACGCUGAGGCUCGAAAGUGUGGGGAGCAAACAGGAUUAGAUACCCUUGUAGUC
rnacentral:rRNA from 1 species